rnacentral:rRNA from 1 species
GCCAGACUCCUACGGGAGGCAGCAGUGGGGGAUAUUGCACAAUGGGGGAAACCCUGAUGCAGCGACACCGCGUGGGUGAGGAAGCGCUUCGGCGUGUAAAGCCCUAUCAGUGGGGAAGAAAAAGGACGGUACCCAAAGAAGAAGCACCGGCUAAAUACGUGCCAGCAGCCGCGGUAAUACGUAGGGGGCAAGCGUUAUCCGGAUUCACUGGGUGUAAAGGGAGCGUAGACGGCGGCGCAAGUCUGGAGUGAAAGCCCGGGGCCCAACCCCGGGACUGCUCUGGAAACUGCGGCGCUGGAGUACGGGAGGGGCAGGCGGAAUUCCUGGUGUAGCGGUGAAAUGCGUAGAUAUUAGGAAGAACACCAGUGGCGAAGGCGGAUGACUGGACGACAACUGACGGUGAGGCGCGAAAGCGUGGGGAGCAAACAGGAUUAGAUACCCCCGUA